rnacentral:misc_RNA from 1 species
GAAAUGCGAUAAGUAAUGUGAAUUGCAGAAUUCAGUGAAUCAUCGAAUCUUUGAACGCACCUUGCGCUCCUUGGUAUUCCUUGGAGCAUGCCUGUUUGAGUAUCAUGAAAUCUUCAAAGUAAAUCUUUUGUUAACUCAAUUGGUUUCUACUUUGGUAUUGGAGGUCUUUGCAGCUUCACACCUGCUCCUCUUUGUUCAUUAGCUGGAUCUCAGUGUUAUGCUUGGUUCCACUCGGCGUGAUAAGUUAUCUAUCGCUGAGGACACUGUAAAAGAUGGCCAAGGUAAAUGCAGAUGAACCGCUUCUAAUAGUCCAUUGACUUGGACAAUACUUUUAUGAUCUGAUCUCAAAUCAGGUAGGACUACCCGCUGAACUUAAGC